rnacentral:tRNA from 1 species
UCUGUGUGGCUCAGUGGUAGAGUGCUUGCCUAGCAUGUAUGAAGCUCUGGGUUCAAUCCCCAGCACUAAAGAA